GUGAGCCUAGUGAUAGGAGACUAUCUAGCUAGGUUCGGAGAGCACUUGUUGGGAACAAUAUUUUUUGGUUGUAAAUGUUACGGCCUAAAUGCUGAAAUAUUGACCCUAC
rnacentral:ncRNA from 1 species